CGAUGAGUAGGGCGGGACACGUGGUAUCCUGUCUGAAUAUGGGGGGACCAUCCUCCAAGGCUAAAUACUCCUGACUGACCGAUAGUGAACCAGUACCGUGAGGGAAAGGCGAAAAGAACCCCGGCGAGGGGAGUGAAAAAGAACCUGAAACCGUGUACGUACAAGCAGUGGGAGCACAGGUUUACCUGUGUGACUGCGUACCUUUUGUAUAAUGGGUCAGCGACUUAUAUUCUGUAGCAAGGUUAACCGWAUAGGGGAGCCGSAGGGAAACCGAGUCUUAAUUGGGCGUUAAGUUGCAGGGUAUAGACCCGAAACCCGGUGAUCUAGCCAUGGGCAGGUUGAAGGUUGGGUAACACUAACUGGAGGACCGAACCGACUAAUGUUGAAAAAUUAGCGGAUGACCUGUGGCUGGGGGUGAAAGGCCAAUCAAACCGGGAGAUAGCUGGUUCUCCCCGAAAGCUAUUUAGGUAGCGCCUCGUGAAUUCAUCUCCGGGGGUAGAGCACUGUUUCGGCUAGGGGGCCAUCCCGGCUU
rnacentral:rRNA from 1 species